GAGUAGCUGGUAUUACAGGCGUGUGCCACAAAGCCUGGCUAAGUUUUGUAUUUUUAGUAGAGACGGGGUUUCACCAUGUUGGCCAGGUUGGUCUCGAACUCCUGACCUCAAGUGAUCCACUCACUUUGGCCUUUCAACGUGCUGGGAUUACAGGCGAGAGUCACCGCACCCGGACGACUCUGACAUUUUUGAAGAGUCCAGAAUCCUGUUACACCUGGGAUUUAGGCACUUUCAAUCUGAAAAAAUACAUAUCCUUUCAGCACUCUGGACGGACUUGAGAACUGUCCUUACGUGACCUAAAGCUGGAGUAUUUUGAGAUUGGAGAAUUAAGGCCAACAGAGAUUUUGAGAAACACAUUGAAGGAUCUGUUAACACUUGAUAUACCCAAUAAAAGCAGUGGUUGUGCCAGUGCUGAUCUGUCUUGAUGUGAAUGUGAACAAUGGGAACCUGAGCUGAGCAGUUAAUGCUAGGGUGACAGAAACUGGACCUCUCCCAAGACAUGUGACAGAGUAAUACAGCAGCCAACUUCUUCGCCAAAUUAAAGUUUUACAAGAUUUAACCUGUCAUCAAGACCUGGGAUUUUGGUGAGCCAGUCUUGGUGCUCUGUGUUCACCUGGUUCAUCUGAGGAGCUGCAUCUACCCUGCCCAUGCCAUAGAUCCUGCCCUGUUUGCUUCUCCUGUUGCUGCUAGUGGACAUGAGACAGUGAUGCACUGUAUUCAAGUGAUAGCCCCAGCAGUAACAUUGAUGCAGAGAAAAUGGAAUACUUUUUACAAGAGACCAGAAGACACAUGAAGCUAGAAAAAGGAGCCCAGAAAACUGCCACAUUUUGCCCAUAUAGAAAAGCAUAUCCCGACCGGGCACAGUGGCUCACGCCUGUAAUCCCAGGACUUUGGAAGCCCAAGAUGGGUGGAUCACAAGAAGGACAGAAUAACGGGCUCCCAGAUUCACAAGCCCCACCAAGAGGAUCACCCCAGGAACGCUUGGAGGCUGAGGAGUUCACUGAGGCUACUGCAUCUUGAGACUCAGGAUGAAGACCCAGCUUGGGGCUGUCAAAGAGGCCUGAAGAGGCAGAACACCCCAGAGGAGCCUGGGGCCACCACCCAGCAUCACUGUGGGAAAACGGCAGCAGGAAAUGUCCUCUCGCCUGCGUGCUCCACCUCGGUCCACGCCUUCCCUCCUUCUGGAAGCCUUGCCUGACCACUGGCCUGCCCCUUCUAUGGGAAUCACUACUGACCUUGCAGCUUAUUAUAGACUUAUAUGUUUUUUGCAUGUCUGACACCCAUGACUCCACCUGGACCUUAUGGCUCCACCCAGAAGCAAUUCAGCCCAACAGGAGGACAGCUUCAACCCAUUACGAUUUCAUCUCUGCCCCAACCACUCAGCAGCAAGCACCUGUUACCUGUCCACCCCCACCCCUUCCCCCAAACUGCCUUUGAAAAAUCCCUAACCUAUGAGCUUUGAAUAAGAUGAGUACGAACUUCAUCGCCCACGUGGCGUGGCCGGCCUCGUGUCUAUUAAAUUCUUUUUCUACU
rnacentral:lncRNA from 1 species